UGGGCUAAAAAUUCAAUCUAACCAUCCAAUCGAUGGACCAAGGGUGUUUAUACUCCGUAUCAUCGAAUGGAACGUGUAAGAAUAAUUUAUUCAAGAAUUGAAGAAAUAUAUCAAAAGAUACGCCUUCAUAUCGAAACUUACUAAUAUUAUUUUAUUUUUUUAUUAUAGGAUACUGGAACAUCUAGCUCUCAUCCACUAGCUGCUGGAGAGGAGCAGGCGGAGGAGGAGGUG
rnacentral:lncRNA from 1 species